AGCAAAGCGGGAAAAGCUCAAAUUUAAAAUCUGGUGGCCUUUGGUCAUCCGAGUUGUAAUCUAGAGAAGUGUUACCCGCGUCGGACCGUGUACAAGUCUCCUGGAAUGGAGCGUCAUAGAGGGUGAGAAUCCCGUCUUUGACACGGACUACCGAGGCUUUGUGGUGCGCUCUCAAAGAGUCGAGUUGUUUGGGAAUGCAGCUCAAAAUGGGUGGUAAAUUCCAUCUAAAGCUAAAUAUUGGCGAGAGACCGAUAGCGAACAAGUACCGUGAGGGAAAGAUGAAAAGAACUUUGGAAAGAGAGUUAAACAGUACGUGAAAUUGCUGAAAGGGAAACGCUUGAAGUCAGUCGCGUUGGCCGGAAAUCAGCCUUCCUUUUGGUUGGUGUACUUUCUGGUUGACGGGCCAGCAUCAGUUUUGACCGAUGGAUAAAGUUGUAGGGAAUGUGGCAUCUUCGGGUGUGUUAUAGCCUUGCUUCGUAUACAUCGGUUGGGACUGAGGAACUCAGCACGCCGAAAGGCCGGGGUUCGCCCACGAUCGUGCUUAGGAUGCUGGCAUAAUGGCUUUAAUCGACCCGUCUUGAAACACGGACCAAGGAGUCUAACAUGCCUGCGAGUGUUUGGGUGGAAAACCCGAGCGCGUAAUGAAAGUGAAAGUCGAGAUCCUUGUCAUGGGGAGCAUCGACGCCCGGACCAGACGUUUUCUGACGGUUCUGCGGUAGAGCAUGUAUGUUGGGACCCGAAAGAUGGUGAACUAUGCCUGAAUAGGGUGAAGCCAGAGGAAACUCUGGUGGAGGCUCGUAGCGAUUCUGACGUGCAAAUCGAUCGUCAAAUUUGGGUAUAGGGGCGAAAAGACUAAUCGAACCCAU
rnacentral:rRNA from 1 species